rnacentral:rRNA from 1 species
GGCUCAGAACGAACGCUGGCGGCGCGCCUAAUACAUGCAAGUCGAGCGAGAAGACGUAGCAAUACGUUUGUAAAGCGGCGAACGGGUGAGGAAUACAUGGGUAACCUACCCUAGAGUGGGGAAUAACUAGCCGAAAGGUUAGCUAAUACCGCGUACGCUUCUUGGACUUCGGUUCAGGGAGGAAAGCGCUACCGAGGGUAGCGCGCUCUUGGAUGGGCUCAUGUCCUAUCAGCUUGUUGGUGAGGUAAUGGCUCACCAAGGCUUCGACGGGUAGCUGGUCUGAGAGGACGAUCAGCCACACUGGCACUGCGACACGGGCCAGACUCCUACGGGAGGCAGCAGUAAGGAAUAUUGCGCAAUGGGCGAAAGCCUGACGCAGCGACGCCGCGUGGGGGAUGAAGGUCUUCGGAUUGUAAACCCCUUUCGGGAGGGAAGAUGGAGUGGGUAACCAUUCGGACGGUACCUCCAGAAGCAGCCACGGCUAACUUCGUGCCAGCAGCCGCGGUAAUACGAAGGUGGCAAGCGUUAUUCGGAUUUACUGGGCGUACAGGGAGCGUAGGCGGUUUGGUAAGCCCUCUGUGAAAUCUCCAGGCUUAACCUGGAAAAGUCAGAGGGGACUGCUGGGCUAGAGGACAGGAGAGGAGCGCGGAAUUCCCGGUGUAGCGGUGAAAUGCGUAGAGA